CCUACGGGUGGCAGCAGUCGAGAAUCAUUCACAAUGGGGGAAACCCUGAUGGUGCGACGCCGCGUGGGGGAAUGAAGGUCUUCGGAUUGUAAACCCCUGUCAUGUGGGAGCAAAUUAAAAAGAUAGUACCACAAGAGGAAGAGACGGCUAACUCUGUGCCAGCAGCCGCGGUAAUACAGAGGUCUCAAGCGUUGUUCGGAAUCACUGGGCGUAAGGCGUGCGUAGGCUGUUUCGUAAGUCGUGUGUGAAAGGCGCGGGCUCAACCCGCGGACGGCACAUGAUACUGCGAGACUAGAGUAAUGGAGGGGGAACCGGAAUUCUCGGUGUAGCAGUGAAAUGCGUAGAGAUCGAGAGGAACACUCGUGGCGAAGGCGGGUUCCUGGACAUUAACUGACGCUGAGGCACGAAGGCCAGGGGAGCGAAAGGGAUUAGAUACCCCUGUAGUC
rnacentral:rRNA from 1 species